rnacentral:lncRNA from 1 species
GGCAGUAAUAGAUUCGUCAAUGAGUGAUAAAAAGAAGUUUGAUUAAGAAAUAAAAGGAUCAUAUUAGAUAGUGUGAGUUUUUUGUUUCUUAUCUCUACAAGCUAAACUCUAGAAGCAAUGCUCAUUUCUGUAGUCAUGCUGCCCAUAUUUGUUAAAAAAUAUCUGUACCAACCACGUAGGUCUCAUAGACUUCUUCUUCAUGUCUGGUCAGAACAUGAUAAUCAUCACAAGUAGAACUUCAAAUUUUCAUUAAAUAUAAACACCAGAUACAGAGUUCUAUAUGAUGAAUAUACAAUUUAUCACUAGAAAGAAAUAUAAGAGAAUUAUGAGACAGUUCCAUUUCAUGACAUUUCAACGCAUUGACAAUGCAAAAUUCAUAAAAUAAAAGUGAGUAUAUACCAUAUUUCUUCAGCGCUUGGGAAGAAUAAAAGCCAAGAAUUAUAGCUGUCUCCUGAUGCACAGAUAAGACAGAUAUAUCAGAUAUUAUUUUAUGAAACGACGACUCUUGGUUGACAAUUUAAAAGCGAAAUAGAAAUAUGGCUUCAACAUAGAGGAGGAGACACAAUGACAGACUAAUUCACUUCAAGCUUGAGUCCGAAGAAUCCUAUCAACACUAGCUCAAACUUAUCUAAGGGUACUAAAAACUAAGGCUAGAUUGUUCAAAAUGAUAAAUCCAAGAAAUAGAGAUAAACAUGCAUUAGGAACAGAAUAAAGGAGUAUCUAACUUGAUGUCCAAUUUAAACCAGAUAGUUUUAUGAUUCCUUACCGAAGUACAAAUAUGAAUCCAUCACCAUGGAAUUUAACAUAAGCUUGCAAUUGGUUCAAUUGCAAAUCAGAUAUAAAAUUUAAGAGCUCAUCCCACUUAUUAAGUAAAUGGAAUUAAAGAAAACAAUAACAUUAUACAGGCGGCAGAUUUUCGACAUUGAAUCGAAAUACAAUCUAUUAUGUCCUAAUUCAUUGUGUACAUAUUACAUGUUAGCAUCAUCACUAACAUAAGACAUGGAUCCUAUACAUAUUUUUAGAUAUAUCCCGAGUUCAACUGAGCUUUACUUGAUUCAAGAUGUCACCCGGAAGUUUCACCUCAACCUUAAUUGACACAACUGCUACAAUGAGGUUUUAAUCUUAAGAGUAAAUUUGGAUACGCAUAGAGUUGUAGACUUUGAACAAAUCCCACCUAACAUCAUUUGAAAGGAAAAAUACACCGACCAAGAAGAAUUCAUAAUAGAAAACGAAAAAUAUCACUCAUGAACUGCCAAAUGGUCAGAAUACUAACAUCUCAAGCCAAAUUAACAGAACAAAUUUCCAUUGCAGUUCCAAAUGUAACCCUUGGUUCAUAUUCUUAUCUGGUGAAAAAGACGCUAACUAGUCCAAAUUAGUAGCUGCCUCUAAAAAUN